GAUGAACGCUGGCGGCGUGCUUAACACAUGCAGGUCGAACGGAAAGGCUCCUGCUUGCAGGGGUACUCGAGUGGCGAACGGGUGAGUAACACGUGGGUGAUCUGCCCUGCACUUCGGGAUAAGCCUGGGAAACUGGGUCUAAUACCGGAUAGGACGAUGGUUUGGAUGCCAUUGUGGAAAGUUUUUCGGUGUGGGAUGAGCUCGCGGCCUAUCAGCUUGUUGGUGGGGUAAUGGCCUACCAAGGCGUCGACGGGUAGCCGGCCUGAGAGGGUGUACGGCCACAUUGGGACUGAGAUACGGCCCAGACUCCUACGGGAGGCAGCAGUGGGGAAUAUUGCACAAUGGGCGCAAGCCUGAUGCAGCGACGCCGCGUGGGGGAUGACGGCCUUCGGGUUGUAAACUCCUUUCGCUAGGGACGAAGCGUUUUGUGACGGUACCUGGAGAAGAAGCACCGGCUAACUACGUG
rnacentral:rRNA from 1 species